rnacentral:rRNA from 1 species
GACAGAGGGGGCAAGCGUUGCUCGGAAUCACUGGGCGUAAAGGGCGCGUAGGCGGGAUGGCAAGUCAGUCGUGAAAUCUCUCGGCUCAACCGAGAAACGUCGGCUGAUACUGCCGUUCUUGAGGGAUGCAGAGGAGACUGGAAUUCCCGGUGUAGUGGUGAAAUGUGUAGAGAUCGGGAGGAACACCGGUGGCGAAGGCGGGUCUCUGGGCAUUUCCUGACGCUGAGGCGCGAAAGUGUGGGGAUCAAACAGG